UCAGGAUGAACGCUAGCGGCAGGCUUAACACAUGCAAGUCGAGGGGCAGCGCGAGUAGCAAUACUUGGCGGCGACCGGCGCAAGGGUGCGUAACGCGUGAGCAACAUGCCCGUAUCAGGGGGAUAAUCCAGGGAAACUUGGUCUAAUACCCCAUAGUAAUUUUGUAAGGCAUCUUAUAAGAUUUAAAGCUUUGGUGGAUACGGAUUGGCUCGCGUGACAUUAGCUGGAUGGUAAGGUAACGGCUUACCAUGGCUAUGAUGUCUAGGGGUUCUGAGAGGAAGGUCCCCCACACUGGAACUGAGACACGGUCCAGACUCCUACGGGAGGCAGCAGUGAGGAAUAUUGGACAAUGGAUGGAAAUCUGAUCCAGCCAUGCCGCGUGAAGGAAAAGAAGGUCCUAUGGAUUGUAAACUUCUUUUGUAUGGGAGCAAUAAGGCCUACGAGUAGGUUGAUGAGAGUACCAUACGAAUAAGCACCGGCUAACUCCGUGCCAGCCGCUGC
rnacentral:rRNA from 1 species